rnacentral:rRNA from 1 species
AACGCACCUUGGCGCCCCUUGGCUAUUCCGAAGGGCAUGCCUGUUUGAGUAUCAUGAACACCUCAACUCCCAUGGUUCGCCAUGAUGAGCUUGGACUUUGGAGGUUUUGCUGGCCUGUGGUCGGCUCCUCUCAAAUGAAUUAGCCUGCCAGUGUUUGGUGGCAUCACAGGUGUGAUAAAUAUCUACGCUUGCGAUUGUCCACAAGGUAACCUUCAGCAAUGGGGGUUCACUGGGGCUCAUAGAUGUCUCUCCUCAGCGAGGUCAGUUUUUUUAACGUUCGAUCUCAAAUCAGGUAGGACUACCCGCUGAACUUAA